AGCGUACACGGUGGAUGCCCUGGCAGUCAGAGGCGAUGAAGGACGUGCUAAUCUGCGAUAAGCGUCGGUAAGGUGAUAUGAACCGUUAUAACCGGCGAUUUCCGAAUGGGGAAACCCAGUGUGUUUCGACACACUAUCAUUAACUGAAUCCAUAGGUUAAUGAGGCGAACCGGGGGAACUGAAACAUCUAAGUACCCCGAGGAAAAGAAAUCAACCGAGAUUCCCCCAGUAGCGGCGAGCGAACGGGGAGCAGCCCAGAGCCUGAAUCAGUGUGUGUGUUAGUGGAAGCGUCUGGAAAGGCGCGCGAUACAGGGUGACAGCCCCGUACACAAAAAUGCACAUACUGUGAGCUCGAUGAGUAGGGCGGGACACGUGGUAUCCUGUCUGAAUAUGGGGGGACCAUCCUCCAAGGCUAAAUACUCCUGACUGACCGAUAGUGAACCAGUACCGUGAGGGAAAGGCGAAAAGAACCCCGGCGAGGGGAGUGAAAAAGAACCUGAAACCGUGUACGUACAAGCAGUGGGAGCACGCUUCGGCGUGUGACUGCGUACCUUUUGUAUAAUGGGUCAGCGACUUAUAUUCUGUAGCAAGGUUAACCGAAUAGGGGAGCCGAAGGGAAACCGAGUCUUAACUGGGCGUUAAGUUGCAGGGUAUAGACCCGAAACCCGGUGAUCUAGCCAUGGGCAGGUUGAAGGUUGGGUAACACUAACUGGAGGACCGAACCGACUAAUGUUGAAAAAUUAGCGGAUGACUUGUGGCUGGGGGUGAAAGGCCAAUCAAACCGGGAGAUAGCUGGUUCUCCCCGAAAGCUAUUUAGGUAGCGCCUCGUGAAUUCAUCUCCGGGGGUAGAGCACUGUUUCGGCAAGGGGGUCAUCCCGACUUACCAACCCGAUGCAAACUGCGAAUACCGGAGAAUGUUAUCACGGGAGACACACGGCGGGUGCUAACGUCCGUCGUGAAGAGGGAAACAACCCAGACCGCCAGCUAAGGUCCCAAAGUCAUGGUUAAGUGGGAAACGAUGUGGGAAGGCCCAGACAGCCAGGAUGUUGGCUUAGAAGCAGCCAUCAUUUAAAGAAAGCGUAAUAGCUCACUGGUCGAGUCGGCCUGCGCGGAAGAUGUAACGGGGCUAAACCAUGCACCGAAGCUGCGGCAGCGACACUAUGUGUUGUUGGGUAGGGGAGCGUUCUGUAAGCCUGUGAAGGUGUGCUGUGAGGCAUGCUGGAGGUAUCAGAAGUGCGAAUGCUGACAUAAGUAACGAUAAAGCGGGUGAAAAGCCCGCUCGCCGGAAGACCAAGGGUUCCUGUCCAACGUUAAUCGGGGCAGGGUGAGUCGACCCCUAAGGCGAGGCCGAAAGGCGUAGUCGAUGGGAAACAGGUUAAUAUUCCUGUACUUGGUGUUACUGCGAAGGGGGGACGGAGAAGGCUAUGUUGGCCGGGCGACGGUUGUCCCGGUUUAAGCGUGUAGGCUGGUUUUCCAGGCAAAUCCGGAAAAUCAAGGCUGAGGCGUGAUGACGAGGCACUACGGUGCUGAAGCAACAAAUGCCCUGCUUCCAGGAAAAGCCUCUAAGCAUCAGGUAACAUUAAAUCGUACCCCAAACCGACACAGGUGGUCAGGUAGAGAAUACCAAGGCGCUUGAGAGAACUCGGGUGAAGGAACUAGGCAAAAUGGUGCCGUAACUUCGGGAGAAGGCACGCUGAUAUGUAGGUGAAGUCCCUCGCGGAUGGAGCUGAAAUCAGUCGAAGAUACCAGCUGGCUGCAACUGUUUAUUAAAAACACAGCACUGUGCAAACACGAAAGUGGACGUAUACGGUGUGACGCCUGCCCGGUGCCGGAAGGUUAAUUGAUGGGGUUAGCGGUAACGCGAAGCUCUUGAUCGAAGCCCCGGUAAACGGCGGCCGUAACUAUAACGGUCCUAAGGUAGCGAAAUUCCUUGUCGGGUAAGUUCCGACCUGCACGAAUGGCGUAAUGAUGGCCAGGCUGUCUCCACCCGAGACUCAGUGAAAUUGAACUCGCUGUGAAGAUGCAGUGUACCCGCGGCAAGACGGAAAGACCCCGUGAACCUUUACUAUAGCUUGACACUGAACAUUGAGCCUUGAUGUGUAGGAUAGGUGGGAGGCUUUGAAGUGUGGACGCCAGUCUGCAUGGAGCCGACCUUGAAAUACCACCCUUUAAUGUUUGAUGUUCUAACGUUGACCCGURAUCCGGGUUGCGGACAGUGUCUGGUGGGUAGUUUGACUGGGGCGGUCUCCUCCUAAAGAGUAACGGAGGAGCACGAAGGUUGGCUAAUCCUGGUCGGACAUCAGGAGGUUAGUGCAAUGGCAUAAGCCAGCUUGACUGCGAGCGUGACGGCGCGAGCAGGUGCGAAAGCAGGUCAUAGUGAUCCGGUGGUUCUGAAUGGAAGGGCCAUCGCUCAACGGAUAAAAGGUACUCCGGGGAUAACAGGCUGAUACCGCCCAAGAGUUCAUAUCGACGGCGGUGUUUGGCACCUCGAUGUCGGCUCAUCACAUCCUGGGGCUGAAGUAGGUCCCAAGGGUAUGGCUGUUCGCCAUUUAAAGUGGUACGCGAGCUGGGUUUAGAACGUCGUGAGACAGUUCGGUCCCUAUCUGCCGUGGGCGCUGGAGAACUGAGGGGGGCUGCUCCUAGUACGAGAGGACCGGAGUGGACGCAUCACUGGUGUUCGGGUUGUCAUGCCAAUGGCACUGCCCGGUAGCUAAAUGCGGAAGAGAUAAGUGCUGAAAGCAUCUAAGCACGAAACUUGCCCCGAGAUGAGUUCU
rnacentral:rRNA from 1 species